GGGGUUGUGGCUCAAUGGUAGAGCACUUGCCUUUUCAUAUGUAAGGCACUGAGUUUAAUUCUCAGCACCACUC
rnacentral:tRNA from 1 species